UCAGGUACCAGAAUUUGAUUACAUAGUCUCCUUAAUUAAUGGAAUUAGGUGUAUAAGAAUCAGAACUAAAUACUGGAUAAACUGUUAAAUUAAUAUUAAUGAUAAAGAGCCCUUUUGUGUCUGAAAAUUAAAAGGAAUUGCAGGUUUAUGUAUACACAUACAUAGAUAGUCCUUGGCUUAUGACAGUGCUUGGGCAUGGAAUUUUCCAUCACUAACCAAUGCAGCUGUAAAGUUUAACUGCAUUGCUUAGCAACAGCAAUCCCUGCAGUCCCAAUUGCCAUUGUCAGUCAAAUCCCUCACUUGUUAGGCAAGGUAACAUCCUGCUGGCUUCCCACAGCCAAAGUCAGUGGGGAAAAUGACAGGAAAUUGUAAACCCCAGGUCACCAGGCAGGUCAGUGGCUCCAACUUGGUGACGAAGAGAGCAAGGGGAGUCCAGAAAAGCCUGGUUCAAGUGUGAAGAACCUGUCAGUGGAGGUGAAGCAGCAGGAGGAAUUGUUUCAGAUGUUUGGGAAGGACAUGUUGAGCUACUUCCACUCCAGUUUCCACUGGAUGAUUGAUGUUCAUCUUUCUGGUCCAUGUGACUGCUGAGAAGAACCCCAGCUGUGGAGAUAGAGUGAAUUGGACUUCCAAAGCACCUUCACGAGGAAGACUCCUUGAUCGAACACGAUUGCUCAUUGAUGUAAACAUAGAGUCACCAUUAUCUGUCAGCACCAAUAUGUUGCCAGCUGAAUGAGACAGUGAAGCUACUGCACUUUGACCCCUCUGAGCUC